UACGUAGGGUGCGAGCGUUAAUCGGAAUUACUGGGCGUAAAGCGUGCGCAGGCGGUGAUGUAAGACAGGUGUGAAACUCCCGGGCUUAACCUGGGAACUGCAUUUGUGACUGCAUCGCUGGAGUGCGGCAGAGGGGGAUGGAAUUCCGCGUGUAGCAGUGAAAUGCGUAGAUAUGCGGAGGAACACCGAUGGCGAAGGCAAUCCCCUGGGCCUGCACUGACGCUCAUGCACGAAAGCGUGGGGAGCAAACAGG
rnacentral:rRNA from 1 species